CCUACGGGCGGCAGCAGUGGGGAAUAUUGCACAAUGGGGGAAACCCUGAUGCAGCGACGCCGCGUGAGUGAAGAAGUAAUUCGUUAUGUAAAGCUCUAUCAGCAGGGAAGAAAAUGACGGUACCUGAGUAAGAAGCCCCGGCUAACUACGUGCCAGCAGCCGCGGUAAUACGUAGGGGGCAGGCGUUAUCCGGAUUUACUGGGUGUAAAGGGAGCGUAGACGGCAGUGCAAGUCUGGAGGGAAAGGCGGGGGCUCAACCCCCGGACUGCUCUGGAAACUGGACGGCUGGAGUGCAGGAGGGGUAAGUGGAAUUCCUAGGGUAGCGGUGAAAGGCGUAGAUAUUAGGAGGAACCCCAGUGGCGAAGGCGGCUUACGGGACGGUAACUGACGUUGAGGCUCGAAAGCGUGGGGAGCAAACAGGAUUAGAUACCCCAGUAGUC
rnacentral:rRNA from 1 species